AGAGAGGGAUUUGAAAGGAAUUAUUUGGCAUGGGGCUAUCUGUUAACCCAGGUCACGUCUUCCCAGGACCGAGAACGGACAGUGCCUUCAUCCUAUCGAGCAAGUCGGAGCUCCCCAGAGCUGCUCGGGCAGCUGGGCUCACACGCUUCCAAACAGUUCAGACAGUUACUAGAGCAGUGGGAGGAGAUCCAUGAGCUGAUUAUGCAUCCUUCAAUCUCCCUCCCUCACUCUGUCCUUAAAAGUUUUCCUGGACCCAUCAGGAAUUGGGUCUUUGGAACUCUAGCUGCCUGGACUCAUUGCAAUGAAUGGUGCACUUUUCUUGAUCACAAGAAAGUGGAUUAGCUGUGCACAAGUGAACGAAUCCAAGUUUGCUUCAGUAAGAAUAAUAGAAGUAUUUUUAUGAUAUUUUAAUUUCAUUAUUUACAAAUGUAUGUGCUGUACAUCCUGCUAUAAAAUGUGUUUCCCUCUGUAGGUCAGAGGCAAAAACUUCUGAAGGCAAGUGCUCUAACUUGAGAAAGUUGGGGAGGCUGUGGUUCUGGCCAGGGCGAUGAGUAUGGAUGAAGUGGAACAGUAUGCUGGCUUGACCAGUGCUUCUCAAUCAGGACCGAGAACGGACAGUGCCUUCAUCCUAUCGAGCAAGUCGGAGCUCCCCAGAGCUGCUCGGGCAGCUGGGCUCACACGCUUCCAAACAGUUCAGACAGUUACUAGAGCAGUGGGAGGAGAUUCUGCCAGCUGCUCCCACGUGCCUGCGCCUUCUGCCGUGCUAGAGAAAAAGCCAGAUGAACCCAGAGUUUACAAGCCCUGGAUCAACAUAGACUAUUCAGAAUGAAGCGCCAUAGUCCUGGGUUCUGACGCCCCCUGGUGGACACUUUGAGUUGAAGUUGGUAACCGACAAACGGACUAAGGUACUCUUUUACUUAUAAUUUAACUUUUAAUAUAAUUUUUAAAGGUUACUUUUCACUUAAAAUUAAAUUACAAAAUAUUGGCUGUAUUCCCCAUGUUGUACAAUACAUCCUUGAGCCUGUCUUUACACCCAAUACUUGCUACCUCCCACUCCACCACCCCUAUAUUGCCCCCCCAUAACAACUACUUUGUUCUUUGUAUCUGAGUCUGCUUUUUUGUUUUAUUCACGUUUGUUGUUUUUAUUUUAGAUUCCACAUAUAAACAAUAUCAUACAGUAUUUCUCUUUUAAUUAAUUUAUUUUAAUUGAAGGAUAAUUACAAUAUUGUGAUGGCU
rnacentral:lncRNA from 1 species